GACGAACGCUGGCGGCGUGCUUAACACAUGCAAGUCGUACGGUAAGGCCCUUUCGGGGGUACACGAGUGGCGAACGGGUGAGUAACACGUGAGUAACCUGCCCACAACUUUGGGAUAACGCUAGGAAACUGGUGCUAAUACUGGAUAUGUGCUCCUGCUGCAUGGUGGGGGUUGGAAAGCUCCGGCGGUUGUGGAUGGACUCGCGGCCUAUCAGCUUGUUGGUGGGGUAGUGGCCUACCAAGGCGGCGACGGGUAGCCGGCCUGAGAGGGUGACCGGCCACAUUGGGACUGAGAUACGGCCUAGACUCCUACGGGAGGCAGCAGUGGGGAAUAUUGCACAAUGGGCGCAAGCCUGAUGCAGCAACGCCGCGUGCGGGAUGACGGCCUUCGGGUUGUAAACCGCUUUCAGCAGGGACGAAGCUUUUUGUGACGGUACCUGCAGAAGAAGCACCGGCUAACUACGUG
rnacentral:rRNA from 1 species